GAUGAACGCUAGCGGCAGGCCUAACACAUGCAAGUCGAGGGAGAGGUUAUCUUCGGGUAACCAAAACCGGCGCACGGGUGCGUAACGCGUAUACAAUCUGCCUUUCACAUAGGGAUAGCCCGAAGAAAUUUGGAUUAAUACCUAAUGGUAUAUAGGAGCGGCAUCGUUUUUAUAUUAAAGCUACGGUGGUGAAAGAUGAGUAUGCGUUCUAUUAGCUAGUUGGAGAGGUAACGGCUCCCCAAGGCGACGAUAGAUAGGGGUUCUGAGAGGGAUGUCCCCCACACUGGUACUGAGAUACGGACCAGACUCCUACGGGAGGCAGCAGUGAGGAAUAUUGGACAAUGGUCGGAAGACUGAUCCAGCCAUGCCGCGUGCAGGAUGAAGGUCCUAUGGAUUGUAAACUGCUUUUGUAAGGGAAGAAUAAGGAGUACGUGUACUUUGAUGACGGUACCUUACGAAUAAGCAUCGGCUAACUCCGUGCCAGCAGCCGCGGUAAUACGGAGGAUGCGAGCGUUAUCCGGAAUCAUUGGGUUUAAAGGGUCCGUAGGCGGGCUGAUAAGUCAGAGGUGAAAGCGCUUAGCUCAACUAAGCAACUGCCUUUGAAACUGUCAGUCUUGAAUGAUUGUGAAGUAGUUGGAAUGUGUAGUGUAGCGGUGAAAUGCUUAGAUGUUACACAGAACACCGAUAGCGAAGGCAUAUUACUAACAAUUUAUUGACGCUGAUGGACGAAAGCGUGGGGAGCGAACAGG
rnacentral:rRNA from 1 species